ACGCACGCUGGCGGCGUGCCUCAUACAUGCCAGUCGAACGCUUCUUUCCUCCCGAGUGCUUGCACUCAAUUGGAAAGAGGAGUGGCGGACGGGUGAGUAACACGUGGGUAACCUACCCAACAGAGGGGGAUAACACUUGGAAACAGGUGCUAAUACCGCAUAACAGUUUAUGCCGCAUGGCAUAAGAGUGAAAGGCGCUUUCGGGUGUCGCUGAUGGAUGGACCCGCGGUGCAUUAGCUAGUUGGUGAGGUAACGGCUCACCAAGGCCACGAUGCAUAGCCGACCUGAGAGGGUGAUCGGCCACACUGGGACUGAGACACGGCCCAGACUCCUACGGGAGGCAGCAGUAGGGAAUCUUCGGCAAUGGACGAAAGUCUGACCGAGCAACGCCGCGUGAGUGAAGAAGGUUUUCGGAUCGUAAAACUCUGUUGUUAGAGAAGAACAAGGACGUUAGUAACUGAACGUCCCCUGACGGUAUCUAACCAGAAAGCCACGGCUAACUACGUG
rnacentral:rRNA from 1 species